rnacentral:rRNA from 1 species
AGUGAACGCUGGCGGUAGGCCUAACACAUGCAAGUCGAACGGCAGCACAGUAAGAGCUUGCUCUUACGGGUGGCGAGUGGCGGACGGGUGAGGAAUACAUCGGAAUCUACUUUUUCGUGGGGGAUAACGUAGGGAAACUUACGCUAAUACCGCAUACGACCUACGGGUGAAAGCAGGGGAUCUUCGGACCUUGCGCGAUUGAAUGAGCCGAUGUCGGAUUAGCUAGUUGGCGGGGUAAAGGCCCACCAAGGCGACGAUCCGUAGCUGGUCUGAGAGGAUGAUCAGCCACACUGGAACUGAGACACGGUCCAGACUCCUACGGGAGGCAGGAGUGGGGAAUAUUGGACAAUGGGCGCAAGCCUGAUCCAGCCAUACCGCGUGGGUGAAGAAGGCCUUCGGGUUGUAAAGCCCUUUUGUUGGGAAAGAAAAGCAGCAGGUUAAUACCCCGCUGUUCUGACGGUACCCAAAGAAUAAGCACCGGCUAACUUCGUG